CCCGAAGAGAAUGCUACCGUUAGGGGGUUUACUCACCUAUUGGGGUGCCUAUCGCUUUAUACAUUCCCCCUGUGGAGACUAGUGGCACGAUACUAACUCUCAGGAGAUUUCAGGGGGGCCCACAAACGGGGGAGAAUGUGGGUUAAUUUUACACACCGCGCAAAAACUUACCCCCCCUUGACAUGUCCUCGAACGGUCGCAGAGAUGUGACCUUCUCUUCGGAGCCUGAAUCACAGGUGCUGCAUGGCUGUCGUCAGCUCGUGUCGUGAGAUGUUGGGUUAAGUCCCGCAACGAGCGCAACCCCCGUCCUUAGUUGCUACCAUUUAGUUGAGCACUCUAAGGAGACUGCCGGUGAUAAACCGCAAGGAAGGGGGGGAUGACGUCAAGUCCUCUUGGCCCUUACAGGCUGGGCUACACACGUGCUACAAUGGCGGAGACAAUGGGAUGCUAACGGGCAAGCCUUCGCAAAUCUCAAAAAGCCGUCUCAGUUCGGAUUGGGCUCUGCAACUCGACCCCAUGAAGUUGGAAUCGCUAGUAAUCGCGGAUCAGCACGCCGCGGUGAAUACGUUCCCGGGCCUUGUACACACCGCCCGUCACACCAUGGGAGUUGGUUUUACCUGAAGACGGUGCGCUAACCCGCUAGGGACGCACCCCGCCACGGUAGGGUCAUCUACUGGGGGGA
rnacentral:rRNA from 1 species